AUGCUUUAUGCGUCAAAUGGAUUCGUCUGCCCAAGGAUGGGUCUGCGGCCUAUCAGGUAGUAGUGGGUGUAAUGUACCUACUAGCCGACAACGGGUACGGGUUGUGAGAGCAAGAGCCCGGAGAUGGAUUCUGAGACAUGAAUCCAGGCCCUACGGGGCGCAGCAGGCGCGAAAACUUUACAAUGCGGGAAACCGUGAUAAGGGGACACCGAGUGUCAGCAUCAUAUGCUGGCUGUCCAGGUGUGUAAAAUACACCUGUUAGCAAGGGCCGGGCAAGACCGGUGCCAGCCGCCGCGGUAACACCGGCGGCCCGAGUGGUGAUCGUGAUUAUUGGGUCUAAAGGGUCCGUAGCCGGUUUGGUCAGUCCUCCGGGAAAUCUGAUAGCUCAACUAUUAGGCUAUCGGGGGAUACUACCAGACUUGGAACCGGGAGAGGUAAGAGGUACUACAGGGGUAGGAGUGAAAUCUUGUAAUCCCUGUGGGACCACCUGUGGCGAAGGCGUCUUACCAGAACGGGUUCGACGGUGAGGGACGAAAGCUGGGGGCACGAACCGGAUUAGAUACCCGGGUAGUCCCAGCCGUAAACGAUGCUCGCUAGGUGUCAGGCAUGGCGCGACCGUGUCUGGUGCCGCAGGGAAGCCGUGAAGCGAGCCACCUGGGAAGUACGGCCGCAAGGCUGAAACUUAAAGGAAUUGGCGGGGGAGCACAACAACGGGUGGAGCCUGCGGUUUAAUUGGACUCAACGCCGGACAACUCACCGGGGGCGACAGCAAUAUGUAGGCCAAGCUGAAGACUUUGCCUGAAUCGCUGAGAGGAGGUGCAUGGCCGUCGCCAGUUCGUACUGUGAAGCAUCCUGUUAAGUCAGGCAACGAGCGAGACCCGUGCCCACUGUUACCAGCAUAUUCUCCGGAAUGAUGGGUACUCUGUGGGGACCGCCUAUGUUAAAUAGGAGGAAGGUGCGGGCCACGGUAGGUCAGUAUGCCCCGAAUCUCCCGGGCUACACGCGGGCUACAAUGGAUGGGACAAUGGGUCCCUCCCCCGAAAGGGGCUGGUAAUCUCACAAACCCAUUCGUAGUUCGGAUCGAGGGCUGUAACUCGCCCUCGUGAAGCUGGAAUCCGUAGUAAUCGC
rnacentral:rRNA from 1 species